rnacentral:rRNA from 1 species
GACGAACGCUGGCGGCGUGCCUAAUACAUGCAAGUAGAACGCACAGUAUAUACCGUAGCUUGCUACACCAUAGACUGUGAGUUGCGAACGGGUGAGUAACGCGUAGGUAACCUGCCUGGUAGCGGGGGAUAACUAUUGGAAACGAUAGCUAAUACCGCAUAAUAUUAAUUAUUGCAUGAUAAUUGAUUGAAAGAUGCAACUGCAUCACUACCAGAUGGACCUGCGUUGUAUUAGCUAGUAGGUGAGGUAACGGCUCACCUAGGCGACGAUACAUAGCCGACCUGAGAGGGUGAUCGGCCACACUGGGACUGAGACACGGCCCAGACUCCUACGGGAGGCAGCAGUAGGGAAUCUUCGGCAAUGGACGAGAGUCUGACCGAGCAACGCCGCGUGAGUGAAGAAGGUUUUCGGAUCGUAAAGCUCUGUUGUAAGAGAAGAACGGGUGUGAGAGUGGAAAGUUCACACUGUGACG